GAUGAACGCUGGCGGCGUGCCUAAUACAUGCAAGUCGAGCGAACAGACGAGGAGCUUGCUCCUUCGACGUUAGCGGCGGACGGGUGAGUAACACGUAGGUAACCUACCUAUAAGACUGGGAUAACUUCGGGAAACCGGAGCUAAUACCGGAUAAUAUUUCGAACCGCAUGGUUCGAUAGUGAAAGAUGGCUUUGCUAUCACUUAUAGAUGGACCUGCGCCGUAUUAGCUAGUUGGUAAGGUAACGGCUUACCAAGGCAACGAUACGUAGCCGACCUGAGAGGGUGAUCGGCCACACUGGAACUGAGACACGGUCCAGAAUCCUACGGGAGGCAGCAGUAGGGAAUCUUCCGCAAUGGGCGAAAGCCUGACGGAGCAACGCCGCGUGAGUGAUGAAGGUCUUCGGAUCGUAAAACUCUGUUAUUAGGGAAGAACAAACGUGUAAGUAACUGUGCACGUCUUGACGGUACCUAAUCAGAAAGCCACGGCUAACUACGUG
rnacentral:rRNA from 1 species